AUUCGUAAAAGCUAUGGAAUAUUUCACUGUAGGCCUGCCAGAAAUGUCGAUGGAAAUGUGAAUUGAAAGAAAGAGCUGUCUGAAGGUGACAGAAAGAUUGGAUGUGGCCCAGGUAAUCCACAGACUAAAAUAUAUGAAAAUUUAGUGACACAUAUGAAACGACUUCUGGAAAGAACUUUUACUCUGCUGAAAGGUGAUAUAAUUCAAGAGAUGCUGUAGUCUGCAAGAUGAACCCGUCUGAGCAAGAAACUCAUUUCAGAGAAGAGGUAGAAUAAAUUUUUCCCGAGUCAUCUCUCUGAGCCCAAACACUGUGCUAAGGGUUUUGGCCAGAACUACUCAACAUCUCUAUAGGAGCUUUGCUGGAUUGCAGCAUGCUGUGGUGUAGCUUUUUCCUGCCCUCUCAUGAAAAGAUCAUGGCACUUUUCAUGAAAACAUUCCUGCUCUGAAAACCAGUAUUUGCCAUCAUCCUUGUAAUAGCAUUUGUAUGGGAAAUCACAGCUUGAACCACUGAUUAAUUAGCUGAGGCAAGUGUUAGGUCAACUGCGGGAGCACAGGUGAGAGUAAUCUAUCUGUGCUCCCGGAAGGGGUGGACUUUGACUCCACCUCCUCUGAGACCUCAUUUAAGGGCUGACCACCACUGAGGCAGCAUCUCUUGGAGGUCACUCACCAGUGGAGACUGUCUCAGAUAUCAGGUCAAGGCAUUGACAUUAAUGAGUUUUCUUUACUAAUAACCUUUGACUAUUUAUCACCAUCUUGGUCAACAUCUUUAUAUUAGCCACCUUUACAGCACUGUUCUUGUUCCUGGAAAUGCCACAUCAGAAAAUGACACCCUUGUUCCUGAUGUGACCGGUGAAUCCAAUGGAAGAUCCCAUAGGAGGGCAGUGGAUUCCUUGGGUUGGAAUAGGCUACCAUCACUAUUUCCAGGAAGGUGUUAGAACUGGAAAACCAGAUGCUUCCACAGUACAACUUCUUGCUGUAGCUGUUCCAAACACAAGUAGCAUCCUCUCAUUCCAUUUCCAUCCUGAAACCCAGUUCUUUAUUAUCUUUGAGGAUCCAAACCUGCCUGAUAUUCAUGCACCCCUAUAUCAUCUUAGCCCGCAAUAG
rnacentral:lncRNA from 1 species